UACGUAGGGGGCGAGCGUUGUCCGGAUUUAUUGGGCGUAAAGAGCGUGUAGGCGGCCAGGUAGGUCUGCUGUGAAAACUCGAGGCUCAACCUCGAGACGUCGGCGGAAACCAUCUGGCUAGAGUCCGGAAGAGGAGAGUGGAAUUCCUGGUGUAGCGGUGAAAUGCGCAGAUAUCAGGAAGAACACCCGUGGCGAAGGCGGCGCUCUGGGACGGUACUGACGCUGAGACGCGAAAGCGUGGGGAGCGAACAGG
rnacentral:rRNA from 1 species